UACGUAGGGUGCGAGCGUUGCCCGGAUUUAUUGGGCGUAAAGGGCGCGCAGGCGGCCACGCACGUCCGUUGUGAAAUCGCCCGGCUCAACUGGGCGGGGUCGGCGGAUACGGCGUGGCUGGAGCAAGCUAGGGGGUAGUGGAAUUCCCGGUGUAGUGGUGGAAUGCGUAGAUAUCGGGAGGAACACCAGUGACGAAGGCGGCUACCUGGGGCUUUGCUGACGCUGAGGCGCGAAAGCGUGGGGAGCGAUCCGG
rnacentral:rRNA from 1 species